CCCAAGUGGAUUUGGCCCAAAUUUCCCUUUGGAAAUUAGGUCGCCUCCCCCACUACUCGAACCCUUGACCUCCCACUUUAAGGGAAUAGUCUGGUGAGAGUGAGUACCAAUUGUGAACAUGCAUGGAAAAAGAUGCAAAGAAAGGCUGGACAGGGCACCUUCGGCGGCACAUUCGGCGGCCGAAUGUUUCCUCCAGAGCCGAAACUCAUGCAAGUUCGGCGGCACCUUCGGCUGCCGAAAGUCUCCUCCAGAGAGGAAAGCUAGGCACUUUCGGCGGCACCUUCGGCGGCCGAAAGUCCUUUCCAGAGCCGAAAGUCCAAACGUUCGGGGGCAAGCUUAGGCAGCCGAAACUACCUCCACAAGUGUUCGGCGGCCGAAACUACUUUCGGGAGCCGAACCUGAGUUCAUCCAGAACUCAGCCUCAUGCACAAUCAAGCCUCCCAAACCUUCCAAACACCCAAAACAUGCAUCC
rnacentral:lncRNA from 1 species